GGCGAUGAAGGACGUGCUAAUCUGCGAUAAGCGCCGGUAAGGUGAUAUGAACCGUUAUAACCGGCGAUUUCCGAAUGGGGAAACCCAGUGUGAUUCGUCACACUAUCAUUAACUGAAUCCAUAGGUUAAUGAGGCGAACCGGGGGAACUGAAACAUCUAAGUACCCCGAGGAAAAGAAAUCAACCGAGAUUCCCCCAGUAGCGGCGAGCGAACGGGGAGGAGCCCAGAGCCUGAAUCAGCAUGUGUGUUAGUGGAAGCGUCUGGAAAGGCGCGCGAUACAGGGUGACAGCCCCGUACACAAAAGCGCAUGUGCUGUGAGCUCGAUGAGUAGGGCGGGACACGUGGUAUCCUGUCUGAAUAUGGGGGGACCAUCCUCCAAGGCUAAAUACUCCUGACUGACCGAUAGUGAACCAGUACCGUGAGGGAAAGGCGAAAAGAACCCCGGCGAGGGGAGUGAAAAAGAACCUGAAACCGUGUACGUACAAGCAGUGGGAGCACAGGUUUACCUGUGUGACUGCGUACCUUUUGUAUAAUGGGUCAGCGACUUAUAUUCUGUAGCAAGGUUAACCGAAUAGGGGAGCCGGAGGGAAACCGAGUCUUAAUUGGGCGUUAAGUUGCAGGGUAUAGACCCGAAACCCGGUGAUCUAGCCAUGGGCAGGUUGAAGGUUGGGUAACACUAACUGGAGGACCGAACCGACUAAUGUUGAAAAAUUAGCGGAUGACCUGUGGCUGGGGGUGAAAGGCCAAUCAAACCGGGAGAUAGCUGGUUCUCCCCGAAAGCUAUUUAGGUAGCGCCUCGUGAAUUCAUCUCCGGGGGUAGAGCACUGUUUCGGCUAGGGGGCCAUCCCGGCUUACCAACCCGAUGCAAACUGCGAAUACCGGAGAAUGUUAUCACGGGAGACACACGGCGGGUGCUAACGUCCGUCGUGAAGAGGGAAACAACCCAGACCGCCAGCUAAGGUCCCAAAGUCAUGGUUAAGUGGGAAACGAUGUGGGAAGGCCCAGACAGCCAGGAUGUUGGCUUAGAAGCAGCCAUCAUUUAAAGAAAGCGUAAUAGCUCACUGGUCGAGUCGGCCUGCGCGGAAGAUGUAACGGGGCUAAACCAUGCACCGAAGCUGCGGCAGCGACACUGUGUGUUGUUGGGUAGGGGAGCGUUCU
rnacentral:rRNA from 1 species